CCUACGGGAGGCAGCCGUGAGGAAUAUUGGUCAAUGGGCUUACGCCUGAACCAGCAAAGUCGCGUGAGGGAAGACUGCCCUAUGGGUUGUAAACCUCUUUUGUCAGGGAGCAACGCCGGCUACGUGUAGCCGGACUGAGAGUACCUGAAGAAAAAGCAUCGGCUAACUCCGUGCCAGCAGCCGCGGUAAUACGGAGGAUGCGAGCGUUAUCCGGAUUUAUUGGGUUUAAGGGGUGCGUAGGCGGAAUGCCAAGUCAGCGGUAAAAUCGCGGGGCUCAACCUCGCUCCGCCGUUGAAACUGGCGGUCUUGAGUGGGCGAGAAGUAUGCGGAAUGCGUGGUGUAGCGGUGAAAUGCAUAGAUAUCACGCAGAACUCCGAUUGCGAAGGCAGCAUACCGGCGCCCAACUGACGCUGAAGCACGAAAGCGUGGGUAUCGAACAGGAUUAGAUACCCCAGUAGUC
rnacentral:rRNA from 1 species